rnacentral:rRNA from 1 species
CCUACGGGCGGCAGCAGUGGGGAAUAUUGCGCAAUGGGCGAAAGCCUGACGCAGCGACGCCGCGUGAGGGAUGAAGGUCUUCGGAUCGUAAACCUCUGUCAGCAGGGAAGAACGGUCACUGUGCUAAUCAGCAGUGAAUUGACGGUACCUGCAAAGGAAGCACCGGCUAACUCCGUGCCAGCAGCCGCGGUAAUACGGAGGGUGCGAGCGUUAAUCGGUAUUACUGGGCGUAAAGCGCUCGUAGGCGGUAUGUCAAGUCAAGGGCAAAAUCCCCGCGCACAACGUGGGAACUGCCUUUGAAACGGGCAAACUGGAGGGUGUGGGAGGAUAGUGGAAGCCCAGGUGUAGGAGGGAAACCCG